rfam:Medicago truncatula strain A17 chromosome 4, whole genome shotgun sequence.
UUUGAUGUGAAUUGAUUUAUGUUUAGAUACACUCAUAUAAAAGUGAUUAUCAUGACUUGAUGUUGUUUGGAUAG